rnacentral:lncRNA from 1 species
GCCACUUCGGGAGAGCGGGCAGUUCUAGGAGGCCGACCUGGAGAGCCUCCCGGUUCCCCUUCCCCUUUUCUCGGACCCCGCGGGGACACCCCCUCGCCGCCACCCGGGCCUCCCCGAGGGCCCAAUUGCGGGUCCAGGAGGCCCGGGCCAGCCGAAAGAGAAGUGGGGCUACCCCACAGCCAGGCAGCGGGGCUGGGGUCAGACCCGGGAGCCGGAGGUUGGAGACGUGCGACAGUCACCUGCGGGCAGAUCCCAGAGGGGAGACCCAGGGAUGCAGGGGACGCCCCUGCGUGGCAGCUACCCAGCCUCGGCCCACUGCCAGUGUUACGUGGCUGCAUGACCAUACACUUCUGGGUAGAGCCCAGUGAAGACAAAGAAGACUCAAGGAAUAGCCCUUGAGAUCCUGAACCAACUUCGAAGGCAGAGAAGUGGGGCUGGAGCCUCCACCAAGGACAAGGAGGCCUUAGCCCCCUGCUUCCAGCUCAAGCUGAAGUGGCUGUGAGCUGAGCUAAGAAGACCCCACUUCACCAGGAGGAGUGCCUCACGCCUGUAAUCCCAGCACUUUGAAAGGCCGAGGCAGGUGGAUCACGUGAGGUCAGGAGUUUAAGACCAGCCUGGCCAACAUGAUGGAGUCUAGCUCUGUCGCCCAGGCUGGACUACAGUGGCGUGAUCUCGGCUCACUCCAACCUCCGCCUCCCAGGUUCAAGUGAUUCGCCUGCCUCAGCCUCCUGGGUAGCUGGGACUACAGGCACGUGCCACCCCG